rnacentral:lncRNA from 1 species
CCGCUGUCUCCUUCCCAACCCGUGUGUGUGUCCCCCCCCCCACAAACACCCCCCCCAGCCCAGCCCCACGCCCAGGGGAGCGUUUCUGCUGAGUCGGGUGGUUGCAGGCGACGGAAAACAACCUGGGGGCAAAGUCCAGGGCUGGGCCCGUGGCCACGUCGCCCCACGGGGGGCACCCAGCACCCCGCCCCUGGGCACCCCCACAACGGCGACCACAACCCUGGGGGGGGACACCCCUCCCCAAAGGCACCGGUUGCCUCCGUGGGGCUGGGAACAGUGGCUGCCCCACGGGGGAGGCCGCUCGGUGUCCCUGCCCCCCACUUCUUGGGACAGAUGGGCUCCGGGGGUCCCGGGUGCCCCCCUCCCCCCGCCCAGCUGCCAUCUGGGUCAGGGAGGUGAGGGCCUAAGCGCUUUAGCCAGGGUGCCAAUUAGCGCGAUUAAGGCGGGCUGGGGGGGGCAGGGCGCCGCGGGCAGACACCGGUGUGCGAUGCCCGGUGUUGCACGACGGGCACCGGGGCAGCGGCACGGCUCUGCCCCAACCCCCGGCCCGGCGGCAGCGUGGUGCCAUGGGAGCGCGGCCAGACACAGGGCCACCUGCCGUGGCACAGCUGGCAGCACCCGGCACACGCCGCUGGCCACGUGUGUGGCUGCGCCCGGUGCCACACGCGUGUCCUUGCCUGCUCGCCCCGUGCUCACACCGCACCUCCCGCCGGUGAGCGGUAUACCCCACGCUCGGUGCCACGUGGUGCCCGGUGCUGCCGUGGGGUGCCCGGUGCCGUGGGGUCCGCAUGGCAGCGACGCGGCGGGGCCGGCGAGGCUGCAGGAAUCCCAGGCAUCCGCAGCAGCUGGGCAGCCCCGGCGCCGAGGAUGCCAUGGGCCUGACAUCAGGGCAGCCCACCCCGUGCCACGGGGACCCACGCGGUGCCCCUCUCCCCGUGCCACGGGGUGGCCGAGCCCAGGUCGGUGCCCACCACGGGGCCGGGUGGCUGAGAGAAGCCACCGCACGAGCGAGGUGGCCGUGGGGACGAUGACCUGCCCCGGUGUUGACCGGGCACCCACGGGCAGCCGCGGCAUCGCGCCUCCGACGGGUCCUGCAUCGCUGCACCGGGACCCCAGCUCCCGCCUGGCACCGCAGCCCCCCCCCCAGCCCCCAGGGACUCCCGGUGCCGUUACGUCCACGCCGGCUGCUCCUUCCCGGUGCCAGGAGGAGGUGGCAGCCCCUCAGCAGCUUUCGGCCGUGCCUCAGUUUCCCCUGAACCGUGCAGCAGAGGAAGAUCCACGGUGCCACUUCCCCCCCCAGCACCGUGCCCCCCGUGCCAGCGUGGCCACCAGAUCCUCGUGCCCCCCGCUCUUCCUCCGGCCCACAACGGGCACCCGACGGGGACCCCGGUGCCCCUGGCGUGUGCUGAGUGUCCCCAGUCUCAGCUCAUCGGGGUGGCUGCAUGUCCCCCCCCCCAGCCCCGCGGGGUGCCCCCGUGCCCGGGGAGGCUGUGCCGGGACGCCGGGGAGCUAUUCUCAGCCCUUGGCACCGGGAUGGGGACGUUUCUAAAUCGGGGGCUCUGGUUCACGUGCACCGGGG